ensembl:lncRNA
GCGGUUUACAUGCGGUUUACAUGCGGUGACAUGAUUUUCUUUGGCUCAUCCAGGUAUGAAUGUUUUAUCUGUUUUGUGUAUAUUAUCUAUGCUGGUUAUGUUUAUGUUUGUUGUAGUGCAGUCAAUUGCAUUCAUUAUGCUAUCUUGUUUAUUUUUAUGUUAUUAUAUAUUGUCAGAAUGCGGUUGGCUAUCUGAGUGGAUGCGGGAAUGUGGUCCUGUCUACGACGGUUUACAUGCGGUUUACAUGCGGUGACAUGAUUUUCUUUGGCUCAUCCAGAUACCAAUAAAUGAGAAGCCACCCUCCAUUGUUGCCCAGCCGUCCUUCCACCCAUCCAGCGCAUUCGCCAGAACACAACGCAGAUCAUUACACCCGUUACAUUGGUGCCGUGACCCGGAUGCAAUUGACUGCACUCCAACAAACAUAAACAUAACCAGCAUAGAUAAUACACACAAAACAGAUAAAACAUUCAUCCGUUACACUUGUAUAACAUAAUAAUAAUAAUAAUAAUAAUAAUAAUAACACAUUUAAUUUAAAGGCACCCGGUGCAACUUUCGAGGCAAAAAUGAACAUUCAAUUUCUAGUCUUUUUUACACGUAGUAUAUUUCAAUAACUCCCUACCAUUACAUAUCGACAUUCAAGGAGCGAAGAUGAGACGUCGUUGUGUGGUGAGAACUGAUAGAAAAUCGUAAACAAAAACAAUGGGCGCCAUUUUCUUUAUUUAUUGCGAUCUCACAAAAAUAAACAGGAUUCCAGUCGGCAAUCCUCGGAACAAGACCGAUGAGUCCCGAACGCUUCCGGAGAUUCUAAAAUGUGAUCCUGUCACUGGUUCUGUUUGCCAAUGCGCGAAUUGUUUUCUAAGUGUGUACAUACUUUACGAUACGCACCCACAUUCAAAUUUUGUACCGUUUUGUGCCGUUUUUUCUGCGCCCGUGGUUUUCUCAUUUCUGUAAGGAUGGCACAUCGUCCUCCCCGAGCAACAAAGCAGAAAGCCCUGGAGGGUUUUCACCUGAUGGAGGAAGAUUCCAGCAACGAGGACAAUCUGGGGCCACAAAGGGCAUUUGCCCGACACAUGGCAGAGAGUGUAUCAUCAGGUCCGGCCACUGAACCACUUCUAGACAUGGACAUGUCCUCUGCGGAUAUGUCCUUUGAGAUGGACAGGGAUGAGAGUAAUCUCGACAGUGCCAGAAGUGGAGGAGAAAGUGAAAGAGGAGCCAGCAGAGGAGCAAGGGGAAGAGGUGCAAGAAGUGGCGCAAGGGGACGAGGGGCAAGGAGAGGAGGAAGAAGGCAAUACAACCCCCCACUAGCAUCGGUGGAGGAAAGGCACAGGGUCCAGAGACUAAGGGACGACAGAGUCAAUAGAAUAAAGGUGAUGCUGGCUAAAAAACAUUUAAACAUGUAUCAUUUGGAACAUAUAAUUGCAUUGAUCAUACUUGUCAUUUCCAAUAUCAUUGGUACUAAUAGAUUCUUUUCUCUUAGGAGCUAAUAGAUGAGAUGAGAGAGGAGGAGGCCAAGGCACUACUACUGAAGGUAGAAACACUUUUCCUGACCCACAAGGCCAAUACAAAGGUUACCGACAAACCCGACUGUAAUAUCUACCUACCUACCCUACAAUAACAGAAAACUAUGACAAUCCCAUAAACGUUGAAGACUCCCCUGCAGACUCAUCUAUCCUGGACCUGUGCUCCAGGACCAGCACAUUGGUUGGGACUGGUGGCACUCUGGGCAGAAGACCGAGCCUCCUAGGAUCAGUCUCUGACAUUGGCUGCUUCCUGCUCAUUCCCUUUCCCAAGUCAAUCCUUUCAUCCAAGAUUUCUGACUGCAGGUCUGUGAUGUAUGUGUAUUUCUUUGGCUCCCUCGAAACGUAGAUAGACCAACUAUCUGACUUCUUCUGGAAGCGUCUCUUCUACCUAAAGACAUAAACAGUGUACCUCAUUUCUAUGUCAGUUUUAAGGGGCCAACAUUGCAAAGUAAAUAAUAGAUGUUCUGCACAUAACUGCUUUAACCAUUGAGUCAGCGGAGUGACAUAGGCAAGAGAAAACAUAUGUACUUACUUGAUAUCCCCAUCUUUUGUCUUCCACACUGCCCUGUCUUUGUGCUCGUUGUAAUCUAGGGCUGCCAACUUGCAACGGGCUUCGUAGACUGGGGGGCUGAAACCAUACCUCUUUGAGGCAUACAUCAGGAUGUGGUUUUGGAACGACUCCAGAUCAGAGGUUGUUCUGUAAGUAUAAGUCAAAUAUUAGGUAACUUAGCAUGUGAGAGCAUAUGUGUUUGAGAGUGAGGUAUUUCAUGUGACUCUCUUUGUUGCGUAUGGAAAAGGGCAUAUCUUGCAUCAAGAUAUGCAAUCACUCUCACCGGAAGCGCAGGUACUUGUAAAUUGUCUUCAGCCAUCUCGGAUUCAUGAUGAUGGCGGUUAGCUUCUUGUGGGCUGGAGAACCAGGCACAAGCCAGGUUUUGGUCCGAGGGGUCUCCUCUGUGAUCGGGUCAUGAUCACAAGCUCCAAGAGCCCAUUGGUGUUCAUCACACACAUGGUGCAAGACACCAGUCCACAGUGCCUAGUAGCAAAUAAAACAACCCAUGAAUACUUGAAUUGAGUACAGUUACACAUGAAAAUGAUACACAUGUAAAAGGUCAGCACAUCUUUAACUGCAUUUAGUAUACUAGUGAU